AUCGCUUCUCGGCCUUUUGGCUAAGAUCGAGUGUAGUAUCUGUUCUUAUCAGUUUAAUAUCUGAUACGUCCUCUAUCCGAGGACAAUAUAUUAUAUGGAUUUUUGGAGCAGGGAGAUGGAAUAUGAGCUUUCUCCAUCCACUACACACAUCAACCUGGUAUUUGCAUUAUUUCCAGGCAACGGUGCACUCCUU
rnacentral:snRNA from 1 species